GAAAACCCGAACCUUGUACGGCGAUCCUGAAAACACAAUAAAUACAUUUGAGGGCACAGCAACACAUCAUAUUCCCCUUUGAAACAAAAUAGUCACAUGCAUUUUUUUCAUAGGCUUCAGCUUCUACAUGGCUGUGUCUUCACACAGCUGCUGGAUUUGUAACAAUGUAUAGCCUAGAUAAAAGUGCAGCCUGGUCACAGAAGUAGUCGCUUCUUCUGCUACUCCAGUUGUUAAUGGAGUUCUUCAUAAUUUUAAAAUGUAGGGCCUAUCCUUAGGAUAUGCCACCAAUAUAGAUUGUGGGGGCGGACUACCUGCACCCCCACCAAUCAGCUGUUUAAAAAGGGUGCAUACAGUGGUUCAUACUGCAAACACUAUACUUUUUGUUGUGGCUGUGCUUGGUAUUGCAGCUUUCUCCAACUCACCUUCCACAAAGAUCAAACUGCUGAUCGGGGGUUGGACCCCCAGGGAUCUAAUAUUAAAGGGCUUAUCCGAUAUCUAAAAUAUCCCCCUCAAUGCCCAGACCCCUUGUAUGGAUUAUACUUACCUGCUCCCCAGCAACAGCGUCUCUCCGGAUCUCUGCAGGGCUGCCGCUGCAUUUCCCUGGCGCUCGGCUCAAAACAUAUGGCGACGGGGGGAGCUGCCAAUAGCAGGCCGCGACAGGGAUGAGCCCCCUUGAGGUUGGUCACUGUCUAUUGGCUGCUCCCCCCAUCGCUAGAGGUUUUGAUCCAAACGAAGGGGAGAUGCAGCGGCGGCCGUGCAGGGAUCCAGAGGGAGGUGGGUGCCAUACAAGGGGGGGUCCGGGGAUUGGGGGGAUAUUUCAGAUAUUGGAUAACCCCUUUAAUCGUAUGUCAACAGCAUACCAAGUACAGUGCCGUACACUGUAUAGUGGCAGUACUUGGUACUGCAGCCCUGGCCCUUUCACAUGAAAUGGACUGAGCAACAUAAAGGCCACGAGACUGAUGAACAUGACAUCACUGACCUAGGAGUGCUUUGGCCUUUUCAAACAGCUGAUCAGUGGGGAUGCUGGGAGUCUAACCCGAAAAAUCUGAUCCUGAUGAUCUAUCCCGAGGACGGUCAUCAAUAUUCUACUCCCAGAAAACCUCUGUGAAGGGAUGUUGUGCACCUUUGGUGGAAAGCCCCCCUCUAUGGCAGACUUUUAAAAAGGAAGAAUACAUACCUGCUUCCUGGCCUCAGCUUCUUCAAUUGACUGCGGCGGCAUCAAAACAGCAGCGAGCUGAGAGGAGAAGCCGAGGCCGGGAAGUGAGGGAGCCAGCGACAGGAUGCAGCCAAGUAUGCUUUCCCCUUCAGUGGUUUGCCAAACCCCCCAAAAGGUGCACAACGCCUUUAAACAAAAGAAUGCAUUUAAUCUAAUUAUUGAGUAAUAAAAAAAGGUUUCAAAGUAAUGAGUAAAGAACAUAUACAUACUUUUUAGCUCAAGGUGAUGGUAACAAAUGAGACCAUACAUCUCACUAAUCCAUGUAUAAAACAUGCUAAGUGCUACAAAUUCACUCACAGCUCUAGCUGCUAUAUUAACAUACCACCAAAGCAAACAGACAUUAGAAAUUCCAUGCAAAAGGGUUAGAGUAGUUU